GCGGGUGCGCCGAAGUUGGAGAGUCGAGGCCGGCUGUAACCCGGUUGCUUUCGCUGAGGGGGUUCGAAUCCCUCCGCCCGCA
rnacentral:tRNA from 1 species